GAUCAGAUGGCCCAGUUUGUUGCGAUUGGUCCACUCUGGUCUGACUGGUCAGAUGGCCCAGUCUGUAGUGAUUGGUCUACUCUGCUCUGAUUGAUCAGAUGGCCCAGUUUGUUGUGAUUGGUCCACUCUGCUCUGAUCGGUCAGAUGGCCCAGUUUGUUGUGAGUGGUCUUCUCUCCUCUGAGUGGUCAGAUGACCCAGUCUGUAGUGAUUGGUCUACUCUGCUCUGAUUGAUCAGAUGGCCCAGUUUGUUGUGAUUGGUCCACUCUGCUCUGAUCGGUCAGAUGGCCCAGAGCCAUAGAGAGAGAGAGUUGCGACAACUCCAUAGACUCCAAUGGAACGGUUUUUUACAGCAAUGGCGGCUCGUGGAGCCUCUCAAUAGUUCCCGGAAGUAGCAGCCGCGCCGUAGAGUUACAGCAGAACAGACCGUUUGUGAUGUACUUUUAAAAGCACAAAGGGGAUUCAGAUCCUGAAGACUCCAUGCAAUGAUGCUGUCACCGCCAGUCUCUGCUCCUUGGAUUUUGCAAGCUUUUCCUUGCUCCUUAUUUUUAAUAAACCUUUAAUAAACAUAAAA